GACGUAGGGGGCGAGCGUUGUCCGGAUUUAUUGGGCGUAAAGCGCGCGUAGGCGGCUUGUCGCGUCGGAUGUGAAAGCCCGGGGCUUAACCCCGGGUCUGCAUUCGAUACGGGCAGGCUAGAGUUCGGUAGGGGAGAUCGGAAUUCCUGGUGUAGCGGUGAAAUGCGCAGAUAUCAGGAGGAACACCGGUGGCGAAGGCGGAUCUCUGGGCCGAUACUGACGCUGAGGAGCGAAAGCGUGGGGAGCGAACAGG
rnacentral:rRNA from 1 species